UAACGACUCUCGGCAACGGAUAUCUCGGCUCUCGCAUCGAUGAAGAACGUAGCGAAAUGCGAUACUUGGUGUGAAUUGCAGAAUCCCGUGAACCAUCGAGUCUUUGAACGCAAGUUGCGCCCCAAGCCUUCAGGCCGAGGGCACGUCUGCCUGGGUGUCAC
rnacentral:rRNA from 1 species